AAUCAACGCUGGCGGCGUGCCUAACACAUGCAAGUCGAACGAGAAAGGGGAGCAAUCCCUGAGUAAAGUGGCGCACGGGUGAGUAACACGUGACUAACCUACCCUUGAGUGGGGGAUAACUGAGGGAAACCUUAGCUAAUACCGCAUAAUACCUACGGGUCAAAGGAGCAAUUCGCUUAAGGAGGGGGUCGCGGCCGAUUAGUUAGUUGGCGGGGUAAUGGCCCACCAAGACAGUGAUCGGUAUCCGGCCUGAGAGGGCGCACGGACACACUGGAACUGAAACACGGUCCAGACUCCUACGGGAGGCAGCAGUGGGGAAUUUUGCGCAAUGGG
rnacentral:rRNA from 1 species